rnacentral:rRNA from 1 species
AUUGAACGCUGGCGGCAGGCUUAACACAUGCAAGUCGAGCGGGGUGAUGGUGCUUGCACUAUCACUUAGCGGCGGACGGGUGAGUAAUGUUUAGGAAUCUGCCUAUUAGUGGGGGACAACAUCUCGAAAGGGAUGCUAAUACCGCAUACGUCCUACGGGAGAAAGCAGGGGAUCACUUGUGACCUUGCGCUAAUAGAUGAGCCUAAGUCGGAUUAACUAGUUGGUGGGGUAAAGGCCUACCAAGGCGACGAUCUGUAGCGGGUCUGAGAGGAUGAUCCGCCACACUGGGACUGAGACACGGCCCAGACUCCUACGGGAGGCAGCAGUGGGGAAUAUUGGACAAUGGGGGGAACCCUGAUCCAGCCAUGCCGCGUGUGUGAAGAAGGCCUUAUGGUUGUAAGGCACUUUAAGCGAGGAGGAGGCUUACCUAGUUAAUACCUGGGAUAAGUGGACGUUACUCGCAGAAUAAGCACCGGCUAACUCUGUGCCAGCAGCCGCCGUAA